UACGGGGGGGGCAAGCGUUGUUCGGAAUUACUGGGCGUAAAGGGCUCGUAGGUGGCCAACUAAGUCAGACGUGAAAUCCCUCGGCUUAAUCGGGGAACUGCGUCUGAUACUGGAUGGCUUGAGUUUGGGAGAGGGACGCGGAAUUCCAGGUGUAGCGGUGAAAUGCGUAGAUAUCUGGAGGAACACCGGUGGCGAAGGCGGCGUCCUGGACCAACACUGACACUGAGGAGCGAAAGCCAGGGGAGCAAACGGG
rnacentral:rRNA from 1 species